rnacentral:rRNA from 1 species
GACAGGGGUCUCAAGCGUUAAUCGGAAUUACUGGGCUUAAAGGGUGCGUAGGCGGCCUUGUAAGUGUCUUGUGAAAUCCCCCGGCUCAACCGGGGAACUGCGGGACAUACUGCGAGGCUCGAGGAAGGUAGAGGCCGGUGGAACGAUAGGUGGAGCGGUGGAAUGCGUAGAGAUCUAUCGGAACGCCAAAGGUGAAGACAGCCGGCUGGGCCUUUCCUGACGCUGAGGCACGAAAGCGUGGGGAGCAAACCGG